GCUAUCUGAGCCGUGCGAUUGGUUGGCUUUCCUCGCAGAUGAAGAGGCAGCACCUCGGAGAGGAGAGAGAAAAAAGGGACAAGCGGUUAGAUUUACCUCGACCAUGGCACCUUGACUACAGUUGCAAAAACCAUCAAACGCUUUGAUGAAACUGGCUCUCAUGAGGACCGUCCCAGGAAAGGAAGACCAAGACUUACCUCUGCUGCAGAGGAAAUCAGCAAUUAACAGUACCUCACAUUUGAGCCUAUAUGAAUGCUUCACGGAGUUCAAGUAGCAGACACAUCUCAACAUCAACUGUCGGAGGAGACUGCGUGAAUCAGGCCUUCGGGGUCGAAUUGCUGCAAAGAAACCACUGAGGGAGGCAAAUAAAAAGAAGAGAAUUGCUUGGGCCAAGAAACACAAGAAAUGGAUAUUAGAUCAGUGGAAAUAAGUCAUUUGGUCGGAUGAGUCCAAAUUUUAGAUUUUUGGUUCCAACGGCCGCGUCUUUGUGAAAAGGGGAACGAAUGGUAUCUGCAUGUCUUGUUCCCACCGUGAAGAAGCAAAGAUGGCUAUGUUGAAGAAUCUUUGAUGGUUUUUGUAACACUUUGUUUGUUUACUACAUAAUUCCAUGUGUUAUUUCAUAGUUUUGAUGCCUUUAGCGUCAUCCAAAAUUAUAGAAAAUAAUAACAGAUAAACUAAAAGCAUUGAAUUAGAAGGUGUGUCCAAACAUUUGACUGGUACUGUAUAUCAGAGCUGAGGGUGGACCUCUCCCUCUCUCUCUCUCUCUCUCUCUCUCCCUUUGGCAGACAUCAGGUCUCACCACACCCCAUGUCUUACAGUUGACUGAGAUAUAGUACAUUCCUUUAAUCACCAUUCCUAAACUUGAAAGAUUCCUGCCUGUUGUAUCUUAUUGCCAAGAUUCCUCAUACAUCUCUGGCUAAUAACAAUGUGUUAGCUUGCCCAGAAAGGCCCAAGCUUCUUUGUUUCCCUACAGGAGUAUUUAGAAGUUCGGGCCAGGGGGCUUUGAGUAUGUUUGUUUUCGUUAGUUUACUUGCAAAUUAGUAAGUUAGUUUUACCCACAAAUUGGAGGCAUCCCCACAAUGUUCUGUUGAGUUUUCACCCCAGGAGGGUCGAGUGAAAACAGUGAGCACAUCUAUUCAAAAAAUCUGAUUGAAUAACAUUUAAAAUGCUGAUAUGUUUGCCCUACAUAAACUGCUGUUUGAUAAUUAUGUGAAUUAAUUUCACAAACAACAUAAUAAUAUUAUUAUUGUCUGACAUAAUCAGAUAUUUCCCACUCAUUCUAAACUGCAGAAAUACUAUCUCUGAAACAUACAUACAUCAC